AAUAGGUUUUGGUGUGGUACCUGAAGGUUGUGGAGGAAGUUUAAGUUAUAUAACGCAGUUAGGCCUGUGGAUGCUUCAUCAGGCCAGGUUCUGGAAUCGCUGAAAUCCAAAGGUUUCUUUUUGUCACGUGCCUCGCUCCUGUUUCCCAGCCGAUCGUGGGGAGUGAAAUAGCAAGACCCUCCUGGAAGUUGUCACAAAAUAAGCCACAUAAAACUAAAUGACUGAGUGGUUAAGAAUCCGCCUGCCAAUGCAGGGGACGCGGGUUCGAGCCCUGGUCUGGGAAGAUCCCACAUGCCGUGGAGCAACUAAGCCCGUGCGCCACAACUACUGAGCCUGCGCUCUAGAGCCCAUGAGCCACAACUACUGAGCCUGUGUGCCACAACUACUGAAGCCCGCGCGCCUAGAGCCCGUGCUCCACAACAAGAGAAGCCACCGCAAUGAGAAGCCCUCGCACCGCAACGAAGAGUAGCCCCUGCUCACCGCCACUAGAGAAAGCCUGCGUGCAGCAACGAAGACCCAUCGCAGCCAAAAAUAAAUAAAAUAAAUAAAAAUUUUAAAAAAAUAUAUAUUUUUUCAGAUUGGGUGUGCACAAUUGAUUACUGCCAUUCUUAUAGUGUUUUUUUGUUAAAGUGUAUCAUAACUUGAAAAAUAAUUACAGUAACAUUUGCUUUGGUA